rnacentral:rRNA from 1 species
UGGAUGAUGUGGAUUAAUCGAUGCAACGCGAAAACCUUACCUACCUUGACAUGUCCGGAAUCCCGAAGAGAUUUGGGAGUGCUCGCAAGAGAACCGGAACACAGGUGCUGCAUGGCUGUCGUCAGCUCGUGUCGUGAGAUGUUGGGUUAAGUCCCGCAACGAGCGCAACCCUUGUCAUUAGUUGCCAUCAUUUGGUUGGGCACUCUAAUGAGACUGCCGGUGACAAACCGGAGGAAGGUGGGGAUGACGUCAAGUCCUCAUGGCCCUUAUGGGUAGGGCUUCACACGUCAUGCAAUGGUCGGUACAGAGGGUUGCCAACCCGCGAGGGGGAGCUAAUCCCACAAAGCCGAUCGUAGUCCGGAUCGCAGUCUGCAACUCGACUGCGUGAAGUCGGAAUCGCUAGUAAUCGUGGAUCAGCAUGUCACGGUGAAUACGUUCCCGGGUCUU